CCUACGGGAGGCAGCAGUGGGGAAUAUUGGGCAAUGGGCGCAAGCCUGACCCAGCAACGCCGCGUGAAGGAAGAAGGCUUUCGGGUUGUAAACUUCUUUUCUCAGGGACGAAGCAAUUGACGGUACCUGAGGACUAAGCCACGGCUAACUACGUGCCAGCAGCCGCGGUAAUACGGAGGUGGCAAGCGUUAUCCGGAUUUACUGGGUGUAAAGGGCGUGUAGGCGGGACUGUAAGUCAGAUGUGAAAACCACGGGCUCAACCUGUGACCUGCAUUUGAAACUGUAGUUCUUGAGUACUGGAGAGGCAGACGGAAUUCCUGGUGUAGCGGUGAAAUGCGUAGAUAUUA
rnacentral:rRNA from 1 species